rnacentral:lncRNA from 1 species
CUAGCCAUAUCCCACUGUCAAAGUGAGGACACUAAGGAUAAGGCUGAGCCUUUGACGUCUCUCUGGCACAGUUUGUUUGUGAAUAGGCUGCUGAGUGUCCUUGAGAGUGAAGAUUGGAUUCCUCAACCUCAGUUAAACAGGAAUUUCAUCACCCAAAACUACCAAGAGACACAAGAACAAGAAGAAGGUCAGAAAUCUGAGGCACAGCCAGCUUAAGAAAUCUGCCCAAAGCCACACAGAGAGCAGCAGAGUUGGGAAAUCAGCCCAGGCAGCCAGACCCCAUAAAUACUACUCCUCAAUAUGAAAAUGCACUGCCAGCAGCACGGUGGAAAAUCUAAGAAAAUGUGUGUAUUAAGAUUGAUGAAACUCAAAAGUGAAGUUUGAAAUGGUUAUAAAAUUAGCACUAAUUACUGAACUGAUUCUUGGUGGAGUUAUAGUUAGCUUGGAUCCAGCAAACUGAGACUCUCUAUCGAGAAGAAAAGAAUGGGUGCAAAGGAG